rnacentral:rRNA from 1 species
UACGAAGGGGGCGAGCGUUGUUCGGAUUUACUGGGCGUAAAGGGCGCGCAGGCGGCUCAUUUUGUCAGGCGUGAAAGCCCCGGGCUUAACCUGGGAACUGCGUUUGAUACGGAUGGGCUAGAGUUCGGGAGAGGAGAGUGGAAUUCCCAGUGUAGAGGUGAAAUUCGUAGAUAUUGGGAAGAACACCGGUGGCGAAGGCGACGUCCUGGACCGGUAUUGACGCUGAGGAGCGAAAGCGUGGGGAGCGAACAGG